rnacentral:rRNA from 1 species
CGCCAGUCUGCAUGGAGCCGGCCUUGAAAUACCACCCUUUAAUGUUUGAUGUUCUAACGUUGGCCCCUGAUCGGGGUUGCGGACAGUGUCUGGUGGGUAGUUUGACUGGGGCGGUCUCCUCCUAAAGAGUAACGGAGGAGCACGAAGGUUGGCUAAUCCUGGUCGGACAUCAGGAGGUUAGUGCAAUGGCAUAAGCCAGCUUGACUGCGAGCGUGACGGCGCGAGCAGGUGCGAAAGCAGGUCAUAGUGAUCCGGUGGUUCUGAAUGGAAGGGCCAUCGCUCAACGGAUAAAAGGUACUCCGGGGAUAACAGGCUGAUACCGCCCAAGAGUUCAUAUCGACGGCGGUGUUUGGCACCUCGAUGUCGGCUCAUCACAUCCUGGGGCUGAAGUAGGUCCCAAGGGUAUGGCUGUUCGCCAUUUAAAGUGGUACGCGAGCUGGGUUUAGAACGUCGUGAGACAGUUCGGUCCCUAUCUGCCGUGGGCGCUGGAGAACUGAGGGGGGCUGCUCCUAGUACGAGAGGACCGGAGUGGACGCAUCACUGGUGUUCGGGUUGUCAUGCCAAUGGCACUGCCCGGUAGCUAAAUGCGGAAGAGAUAAGUGCUGAAAGCAUCUAAGCACGAAACUUGCC